rnacentral:rRNA from 1 species
CCUACGGGCGGCUGCAGUGGGAAUAUUGGGCAAUGGGGAAACCCUGACCCAGCAACGCCGCGUGAGGGAAGAAGGUUUUCGGAUCGUAAACCUCUGUCCUCAGGGACGAAAAAAAUGACGGUACCUGAGGAGGAAGCCCCGGCUAACUACGUGCCAGCAGCCGCGGUAAUACGUAGGGGGCAAGCGUUGUCCGGAAUGAUUGGGCGUAAAGGGCGCGUAGGCGGCCUGUUAAGUCUGGAGUGAAAGUCCUGCUUUUAAGGUGGGAAUUGCUUUGGAAACUGGCGGGCUGGAGUGCAGGAGAGGUUAGUGGAAUUCCCGGUGUAGCGGUGAAAUGCGUAGAGAUCGGGAGGAACACCAGUGGCGAAGGCGACUAACUGGACUGUAACUGACGCUGAAGCGCGAAAGUGUGGGGAGCAAACAGGAUUAGAUACCCCGGUAGU